UACGUAGGGUGCGAGCGUUGUCCGGAAUUAUUGGGCGUAAAGAGCUCGUAGGCGGUUUGUCGCGUCUGCUGUGAAAACUCGGGGCUUAACCCCGGGCCUGCAGUGGGUACGGGCAGACUAGGGUGCGGUAGGGGAGACUGGAAUUCCUGGUGUAGCGGUGAAAUGCGCAGAUAUCAGGAGGAACACCGGUGGCGAAGGCGGGUCUCUGGGCCGUAACUGACGCUGAGGAGCGAAAGCGUGGGGAGCGAACAGG
rnacentral:rRNA from 1 species